rnacentral:rRNA from 1 species
UACGUAGGUGGCAAGCGUUGUCCGGAUUUACUGGGCGUAAAGGGAGCGUAGGCGGAUACUUAAGUGGGAUGUGAAAUACCUGGGCUUAACUUGGGUGCUGCAUUCCAAACUGGGUGUCUAGAGUGUUGGAGAGGAAAGUGGAAUUCCUAGUGUAGCGGUGAAAUGCGUAGAGAUUAGGAAGAACACCAGUGGCGAAGGCGACUUUCUGGACAAUAACUGACGCUGAGGCUCGAAAGCGUGGGGAGCAAACAGGAUUAGAUACCCUGGUAGUCCACGCCGUAAACGAUGGGUAAUAGGUGGAGGAGGUAUAGACUCGUCCUGUGCCGACGUUAACACAAUAAGUAACCCGCCUGGGGAGUACGGUCGCAAGAUUAAA